GAACACAUACAACAAUCAAAAGAGAAACAUUGUCCAAAGUUGCCAAAACCAAAAGAAAAACAAAAAUGGCAACAUAGUAAAAUUGAUUUUCAAACUAACACCUAUGCUUUAUUUGAUGAUUUCUAUAGGUGGACGUUUGAUCCAGGAGGACAAGCUUUGGCGAAGCAAGAGGCUGCUAUCCGAGAUCAAGUCUGUAGAUCUGAGGAUAGAUCUUCUCAAGAAGGAGGAGAUGAUG
rnacentral:lncRNA from 1 species